UUACGUGACGAAGCGCGCGGCAAAGUAGACAAUAAGGUCUAAGCUUCGAGUGAGUCGCCCAACGCCGGUUAGCCCGGCGUUUUUUA
rfam:Escherichia vulneris NBRC 102420 DNA, contig: EV10242010.